CAGACGCUGUGCUCUUUACUUCUAAGCCAUACUGCCUCAUUGUGAGGUCACCCUCAAUUAAAGGCAGCUCCCCCACUCCAAGAUCUCUCUUAGAUCUCUUCUCUCUGUUCCUUAUGGAAAAGAUUCCCAGACUUCAGUCUCUUCUCCAACACUAUCUGAGUCUCCACCAUCUUCUUCUCUGCAACAUGGUGACUGCUAAGGCUGCCGGGCAAGCCCUGAACAGCCACAUGGACCAAUCUGAACUCUUCACAUACUUGUAAAUGUUAUUGAGAUAUCCCACAGGAAAGCACGAUGAGCUACAGAGAGCAUCCCCUUGAAGUGGGAGAGCAGGAAGGCAUCAUAAUGACAUUCCUGACUUUUGAGCAAUUACCUGUUAAGAAAACCUCUUUCCACAGAGUAAAAAGAUGAUCUAGCAGCUUUAAUCUUAUGUGGAACUUCAAAUGCCUAUCUCAGAGGAAGGGUGAACAUCUUUCCUAACAACUCUGGAAACAUUAUUUGAGGGGAUUCUGAUCAGCCCAAUUUAACUUCCAUGUGCAAUGCUGAAGAAAUCACUCAGGUCAAGAUACGGCAUGCUCUGAUUUGCU
rnacentral:lncRNA from 1 species